CAAACUACACAGGUAUCCUUAUACCUUUCUGUUCAUUUUUCAAUACGCAAAAGACAGACUUGAAUAACUAGAUUAUUGAUAGUGGUGCAACAAAUCACAUAGCAACUUCAAUACCUAUUAAAACUCAUAUGUCAUCUCAAGUAACCUUGCCUAAUGGUGCCUAUUCUAAGAUAACUGAAAUUGGCUCAACACAACUCUCAAACCAUCUACAUGUUAAUAAUGUAUUAUGUGCACCAUCAUUUCAUGUUAAUUUACUUUUAGUGAGUCAACUUACUGCUGCCAUGAAUUGUUCAAUCCAUUUUUUUCCCACUUUCUGUAUAUUGCAGGACCUAGCUUCGAAGAAGAUGAUUGGCUUGGGGAAGCAGCUUAAUGGCUUGUACUACUUUGUUCCUCAAGUGAAGUCUACACUAACUUCUUUUUCAAUCACCCAUCAUGCUGAUUCUACUACACAUAUUACUUGGCACAAGCGGUUAGGACAUCCCUCAAAAGCACCUUCACAAUUUUUAAGCAAUAUUAUUCCUGCAUUCGUAUUUGAUUCUCAACAUUCCUGUGAAACUUGCCAUUUGGCAAAGCAAACUCGUU
rnacentral:lncRNA from 1 species